rnacentral:rRNA from 1 species
AACGGGUGAGUAACACGUGGGCAAUCUGCCCUUCACUCUGGGACAAGCCCUGGAAACGGGGUCUAAUACCGGAUACCACUUCCACUCGCAUGGGUGGAGGUUGAAAGCUCCGGCGGUGAAGGAUGAGCCCGCGGCCUAUCAGCUUGUUGGUGAGGUAACGGCUCACCAAGGCGACGACGGGUAGCCGGCCUGAGAGGGCGACCGGCCACACUGGGACUGAGACACGGCCCAGACUCCUACGGGAGGCAGCAGUGGGGAAUAUUGCACAAUGGGCGAAAGCCUGAUGCAGCGACGCCGCGUGAGGGAUGACGGCCUUCGGGUUGUAAACCUCUUUCAGCAGGGAAGAAGCGAAAGUGACGGUACCUGCAGAAGAAGCGCCGGCUAACUACGUGCCAGCAGCCGCGGUAAUACGUAGGGCGCAAGCGUUGUCCGGAAUUAUUGGGCGUAAAGAGCUCGUAGGCGGUCUGUCGCGUCGGAUGUGAAAGCCCGGGGCUUAACCCCGGGUCUGCAUUCAAUACGGGCAGACUAGAGUGUGGUAGGGGAGAUCGGAAUUCCUGGUGUAGCGGUGAAAUGCGCAGAUAUCAGGAGGAACACCGGUGGCGAAGGCGGAUCUCUGGGCCAUUUACUGACGCUGAGGAGCGAAAGCGUGGGGGAGCGAACAAGAUUAGAUACUCCUGGGUAGCUCCACGCCGUAAACGGUGGGAACU